rnacentral:rRNA from 1 species
UACGGGGGGGGCAAGCGUUGUUCGGAAUUACUGGGCGUAAAGGGCUCGUAGGCGGCCAACUAAGUCAGACGUGAAAUCCCUCGGCUUAACCGGGGAACUGCGUCUGAUACUGGAUGGCUUGAGGUUGGGAGAGGGAUGCGGAAUUCCAGGUGUAGCGGUGAAAUGCGUAGAUAUCAGGAGGAAUACGGUCGGUGUAGACGGCUCUCUGGUACGUGACUGACGCUGAGACGCGAAAGCGUGGGGAGCGAACAGG